rnacentral:lncRNA from 1 species
AAAAACAACGUAAAACCGAAAUAAGGGUAGGUUAAUAAUAAAAUUUUAAAUUCUCUAACUUUAAUUGAUAUUUGAAAGUAAAAAUAAAGCCCGAAAUAUCGAAUCUUCCAAGUAUGAAAAUUGAUUUAACGUGUUUAAUUUUGAUAACGUUAAUGUAAUGACAAUGAAAGCAUUGAAUCACUAAAAAUGUUUGCGCCAAACACAUCCGAAUCUAGGUUCGUUUCUCGUCCAACGGCAUAUUUCUAAUUUUGG